AUUGAACGCUGGCGGCAGGCCUAACACAUGCAAGUCGAGCGGAGCGGCGGACGGGUGAGUAUUGCCUAGGCAUCUGCCUGGUACUGGUGGAUAACGUCCGGCAACGGGCGCUAAUACCGCAUACUAUCAGAUGAGCCUGGGUCGAAUUGGCUAGUUGGUGGGGUAAAGGCAUACCAAGGGGACGAUCUGUACCUGGUCUGAGAGGAUGAUCAGUAAAGCUGGAACUGAGACACGGGCCAGACUCCUACGGAAGGAAGCAGGGGGGAAUAUUGGGCAAUGGGGGAAAGCCUGAGGCGGCCAUGCCGCGUGUGUGAAGAAGGUCUUCGGUUGGUAAAGCACUUUAAGUUGGAAGGCGUUACCAGCAGAAAAAGCACCGGCUAACUACGUGCCAGCAGCCGCGGUAAUUC
rnacentral:rRNA from 1 species